CAAUUUGGAUUCUGCAUUAUUCUUGAUGCAUAUGACACAGCUCUCUCUCAACAACGUGAAUCUAGACCAGCAAUGCUCUUGGAGGAGAGGAACAGAAUCACAGCGGCAAAAAUGCAGGAUUUUCUUCAUUUAAGAUUUAACACAUGUGGAAAUGGGUGUAAUGUUUUAGAUCAGAGCCAUAUUUUCAAAUAUUAUCCAAAAUACAUUGGUUUGACAGUGGUACAGUUCAUUUUGGUUACAUGAUCCUCUAGUUUUAAUGUAGUAUUUCUUGUAGUAUUCUGUAGUUUUAAUGUAUUAUUUUGUCUUUGUGUUUUUGUCCUUAAGCCCAAAGCAACAACUUUGUACAGUUGACACAGUGCCAUCUCAAACAGCAACUACAGCAAGCUGUGUCACAAGAAAAGCCAUCUGGCUAUUCAGGAUAUCAGCAGAGAGGAAGUUCAAGAGGACCAGGCUGAGCAAGUCCUGAGGAUCUGUGUCUUCCACACAAGUGAAGAAGAUGAAGGUGCAUCCGACACUGAUGUGUCCAUUGUUAUUGAAGGGACUGAGGUACUUGACAACUAUGGAAGUGUUACAAAGGCCUGUCUCCUGCUCAUGAGCAUCAUUUAUGCCAGGAAUUUGAGUUACCCCCCAAAAACAAAGUACACUUUGGAAGUUUUUCAAAAGCUUCUUCUAGAGCUUGAUGUCCUUAAGCUGUCCCCGAAAAUCCUGUCUCUGCGAAACAAACUUGAGUCUGAGUGCACAUGUAUACGGCACAGUUGUUAAUGUGGCUAUUUGUCUAUUUUCUUAUUUUUCUCUCGUUUUAAUGAUGUCAUUUUUAUUUGAACUUGUUGCGCUGUAUUAAAUACUGUAUGUGGCCAUGUGGAGUGGCUACGUUUUGGGGACAAAAGAAAAGAAGUUAGAUCAGCAUUUUCAAGUUAAACCAGAGGUUCUCAACUGGUGGCUCGUGGGGCCAUUUUUAAUGGGUCACGGAUGUGAGUGUGGGCAUGAAAAGAGCGAGGGGCCAAAUAUCGCACUUUUUAGUGUCAAGAUGCUCUGCUUUUUGUAGGAUAUUACUCACGAUACAGAAACAGACGUUUAGAACCUCAGAGCAAAACACUGUUCUUUAAGAUAAAAAGGAAUAGUAAGCAUGUCUUUUAAGAUGCACCAGCAUGUCAAAUGUUUUCCAGAGUUUAAGGUUAAAAAGCCUCUCCAAACGAUAGGCUACGUAUGCUCUAUGCAAACAGUUCCUGAACUUGUCCUUGUGCCUUUAACAAGCUACCUCAAACCCAUUUUAGCCACCCUAAGAUGAAAUUUCUGUCAUCGUCUACUCACCCCGAUGCCGAUAGAAGGACUCAUCAUGCUCUUCUGGGAGUUUGCCGAGAUGUUUGUUUCUCACAAAACUGCAUUGAACGGCAACUUGGCUUCAAACAUCCAAAAAAUGUCUCCAUAUUGCUCAUCUGAAGUAAUCCAAGUGUCCUGCAGCUUACACAUUCCUAGAUGUUUUGAAAAACAGAACAAAAUUGUGUUUUGGCUUUGUUUGCUCUGCUUUGCUUCCACUGUGGUGCUGCGUGAACACGGAUGGGCUAGCUGGAAGUUAGUAGUGUGUAAGUUUGUGUGCGGCGUUGGAAGGAGCACGCAUUGGAAGAGCAGCAGAGCAAACACAGCUGAAAACACAAGUUUGUUAUGUUUUGUACAAACGUCUUGGCAUGUGUGAGCUACAGGACUGAAUUAAAGUGUUCUCUAAUGUCAGUAAAUAUUAAAUUUGGGGUAAUGACACUGAUCCUGGAUCAGCAUUUAAAUGUACCUUUGAGUUUAUUGUAAGGUAUUCUUAUUAUACUGCAGUGGAGAACAGAGUGACACAUCUCAAACCAUAGUGGACACAAAAAUACUAAUCUUGAUCUCAUGAAUUAAGACUUUCUACUUCACUUGUUGAAUAUUGUAACUGUGUUAUCUUGUGACCAGUUAAAGUCAUCAGAAAUCAGUAUUCAGCAGCUUAUUUUAAACUAAAAUAAAGAAUCUCCAGAGUA